UACGAAGGGGGCUAGCGUUGUUCGGAAUCACUGGGCGUAAAGCGCACGUAGGCGGAUCUUUAAGUCAGGGGUGAAAUCCCGAGGCUCAACCUCGGAACUGCCUUUGAUACUGGGGAUCUCGAGUCCGGGAGAGGUGAGUGGAACUGCGAGUGUAGAGGUGAAAUUCGUAGAUAUUCGCAAGAACACCAGUGGCGAAGGCGGCUCACUGGCCCGGAACUGACGCUGAGGUGCGAAAGCGUGGGGAGCAACAGGG
rnacentral:rRNA from 1 species